GCGAUGUCGCCUCCCGUGUGUCGAGCCCAAAACCCGUCAAAAAAAUUGCUUCCUGCCACAAGGUAAAGCCAGGCACGGACGGGGUUCGAACCCGCGAUCUUCGGUUUACGAGACCGACGCCUUACCACUUGGCCACCGCGCCUAGUAAUCCAAAUCUGUCAUUCCUUAUAUAUUUAAAGAAAGUUCAAAAUCACGACACGAUAUUGCGUUCCGGUACUAGUAAUGUACACCGAACCACACAUAUGGCUUCUCGAUUACGUGGUCAAUAUGUAAAUUAAAGCCCUGUUCAGAAACAGAAAGGACAAACUUUGGAUAGAGGUUUAACAUGAUGGCGGAGUAUGCCAUCGAACGUAAACCUUCAUUACGUUGUAUACAAUAGUCCACUUGUAAACAACAGCACUUGUUUGUAACAAUUGCUUAUACCUCCGACGUUUCCUUUGUACAAUAUUAAAAAUUAUGUGAUGUGUUUUUACUACUUUAGAUUUCGAAGAAAAUUAGAAUCAAACAGGAUUUUAUGGAAUUCUCAUGCAAGCCGGGGGGAUUGUUGACGAGGGGCACAAAUACGUCCGGAAGUAGAUGGUUCACUGGUAGCUUUGAUUUCAAUGCUUAUGUAGACAUAAAACACAGGAAUGUUAUAUUCUGCUUUUCACAAAUGAGAUGUCAGAAGAACCUUCCGGGUCAUUUAUUGUUAAAGAUCUUGUUGUUCUAUUUUGACAAAAACUGAAGGAACUAUAGCUGAGCCGCCCCCUCCUCCCCACCCUUCACCAUGCCGCUGGUGGUGGAUGCCGUGUGGGCGCUCUGGAGCAUCGGGGCCGGAAUUUAUGACUACUUCCACACCAGUGCCAUGGAGGAGAGGAUCCACGCUCUGGAAAAUGUCCUGUCCAUCCACCAGUUUGUGAUUGCCAUCUUGUCAGCAGGCCUCAUCCUGCUUAUGACCUACAUACUGCUGAGAAAACACUGAGACCUAAGUGACCGGCCUGAAUCUUGGUUUGGGUCCUGAUGAUGGCAGUGCUGACAGUCUGCCUCAUGAUAUUUGAAGAUCGAGUGCCAAAUAAGGUCAGCAGCACUGAUGGGCACUUUAAACCAAACAUGCAGUUUGUGAAAUGUGGUUUUCUGGUAGCUUUUCCUGUCAGUCCUUGUGUUUUCUGAUGUUAAACUAGCUCUGCUGGGCAUUGUUAAAUCAGAAGUAUAACAGCUUAUUGAAGCAAGUGUGCACUUUAACAGUUUUACUGAUCUUGGAGCUGCAUUAGCUGUUUUUAUCUAUUCAUCCAUUGCCCUCUCUUUUGCCAUCAAGUGUGUUGUUUCAGUUUAAUAUCAGAAUAUUUUUCUAAAAUUCAUCUGCAUGGACAUUUAAAAUAUUUAUCAUGUAGUAGUUGCUGGUAUUUUAACUCAGACAUGGACAUUUAACACUGAUUUAGAUAAAAAAAACAGGGUGGAAGAAAUUAUUAGAUUUUUUCACUGUUGUCUGAAUUUGAAUGGAAAUGUGUAGCUUUGUGGUUUGAGUCUGAUGGUUUUAAAGUCAGGAAGCAAUCCUGAAUGCUUGUCCUGUCUUUCCUUUCUGUUAAAAUGAACUCAUUGUUAAGUUGUGUUUUGUCACCAUCACUGUUCCUGUUUAUUGGGUAUUUGCUCAUUUAGGCCCUACUGUUAUGUACUCAUGGUCACUAAAAUUAAAAGGGAAUAUGUUUGAAUAAUC